AACGAACGCUGGCGGCAUGCCUAACACAUGCAAGUCGAACGAGACCUUCGGGUCUAGUGGCGCACGGGUGCGUAACGCGUGGGAAUCUGCCCUUGGGUUCGGAAUAACAGUUGGAAACGACUGCUAAUACCGGAUGAUGACGUAAGUCCAAAGAUUUAUCGCCCAAGGAUGAGCCCGCGUAGGAUUAGCUAGUUGGUGAGGUAAAGGCUCACCAAGGCGACGAUCCUUAGCUGGUCUGAGAGGAUGAUCAGCCACACUGGGACUGAGACACGGCCCAGACUCCUACGGGAGGCAGCAGUGGGGAAUAUUGGACAAUGGGCGAAGGCCUGAUCCAGCAAUGCCGCGUGAGUGAUGAAGGCCUUAGGGUUGUAAAGCUCUUUUACCCGGGAUGAUAAUGACAGUACCGGGAGAAUAAGCUCCGGCUAACUCCGUG
rnacentral:rRNA from 1 species